rnacentral:tRNA from 1 species
GGAGAAGUGCCAGAGUGGUCGAAUGGGCCUGACUCGAAAUCAGGUGACGGGGCAACUCGUCCGGGGGUUCGAAUCCCUCCUUCUCCGCCA